CGUCAGUUCUAUACGAUGCAGUGGUUCGGUGAAAAAGGACACAAUGAAAGUCAAAGUUACGAGUUACCAGCACCCCCCAAUCUCACCUGCUUGGAAUUGUUUACGUAUGAUCUGUGGGCCACCUCGGGAGCUUUCGGUCGUCCAGUGGUACCGGAAGUGAAUUGAAUAACCAUGCCGCUCCCGGGAGAGAUUUCACCCUGUUCAGCACCGAUGGCUUCCACUUCAAUGCUGCUGGCCAGGGACUCGACGUCGACGAAUCUCCUGGUGCCACUGUGAUGGAUGAAAUUUUUUAGGAAAAAUUAAUUAAAAUCCACUCACGAACGUUA